GUCCAUUUUAUACUGUCUAUGGUUUCAGCAUAUGAUAGAAAGUUUUAUAAGUCUUACCUACUGCACCUUUAAUCCGUAUUACCUGAACAUUUGAAACUGUAGCCUGGUGGUUUCAUUUUUACCAUUUAAUGUAAAUUUUAUGCUAUACUAUACUAUACUAUGUCUUAGUUCACCUUAGAAGCAGACACCAAUGCUCUGAGUGACUCAAAACCAGGACGGGCAAGUCACGGACAAAUCAAUCAAAGCAAGAGCUUCUGAGAGACAGUCAGGAUCUAUAGUAGCAGCUUCUUUGCCGUGUCAACGGCAAUAAAGAAGAGACGUAUCACUCUGUUGGAGUUGCUGAAACUACAGAACCACUAUAGAAAUCUUCAAAACCCUCACAAAAGAUCUAUUGGCUGGGUCUCAAACACAGACUGGAAAUAGUACACAAACCUGACAAGUUUAAUUUGGGCCUUUUAUCAAGUUAUUCAUGGAAUUAGCGGCAGCUAAUAUGACCUGUUAUAAAACCCAAGAGUCUGAUACAAAAUGUUUACAGUCAGGUGUAGCGAUCAAUCACUUACGCAACACUUUCUAUUUCCUUUGUCCUCAGAGAAACCCUCUCUGGAUGGCCGCCUAGCUGCACUGAUGAGAAGGCAGCCACAGUCACAACGGAUAGAGACAAGAUUUUGAUUAUGCUGCGAGUUCAAAGCAUUCAUAUGGAAACCGGAGAACAGUGACAUCGGGGAGGACCGUGAACGCAUCCCAAGCAGCAAACUGGAGAACAGUGACAUGUUUGACCUGGUGAAUCAGAUGUGGAAGACCUACAUCCAGCAGUCUGUGGAGGUGACCAUGAAGGUUUUAAAGCAAAUAGACAGGAAUGAUCUGGUGCAGAUAUUGUCAGUCACCAGCUCAUGAUCCAAAGAGAAACUCUGUGGAUGAACAGCUGUCUGCACGGAUCCAGAGUGAGCAGAGGCGCAUCUGUGUCUGACUCUACACACAGCUUUUAUUCAAUGCAUGCAUGGUUGAAAAUCAACUUGAGCUGAAUAUUGCAAGUUUUUAAAACAACUUUUAAAAUGAUUGUAACUAUUUUAAAGCAUGAAAACAGAUCAUGAGUUCUUUUAGCUUCCCUUAUAGCAACAGAUCAGGUGGCUCAUUCCAGGGUUUUUUAGCAGCACAGUGUUUACAGUUUACAGAAUGUAAAGGGAUACAGGGAAUCAUCUUGUUUAAAUGUAAGCACAUAUCAGUAUUUCAGCUACACUACAGAAAUGGAACAAAAGAAAUCUACCCCAAUGGUUCUCAAAACAUCUGAUGUAGUGUACGCAUUAACUCUGAGGUUAUUGGGGUAAAAAAAAUGCAAAUACUUGCCUCACAUGUUUGAGAUUCAAAGAGAUACAUCCUUGAUUAUUUUUGUGGAUAAAUUACAUAGUAUAUGGAUAUGCCUUUAUGUACAUUUUUAUUUUUCCAUUUAAAAUCAUUGAUGUUUUUUUAUAGUUUUUUUA